rnacentral:lncRNA from 10 species
CAUGAGUUGUUAAUGUGUGCACGGAAGCCACAAGUGUGCAGGACGCAAGCUGGGUUAUUGGAAGCGGACGACACCAAGGAGGCGUUGCCGCGGAUGUGGUGGACGAUGCCAAGUCGUCUUUUAAAAAAGGAAGUGAAGAAUGAUUAAGAGGGUCACGCCCUCUACCACUCCAACCUCUCUAAUCAGUCUCUUUCUGCUCCGUCUGCUGUACAUGCACCUGCUCAGGUGAGACCUCAAGGAAAAAUAAUCCUGUGGGUCCACCUAAUCUGACAACCACAGUUGCUAACAGUAUGAGUUCUGCAGUUAUACAGAACUAAGUCCAUUAGCUGUGUGACCCAUGGCCAAAUAUUUUCCUUCUCUGUGCCUGCAUUUCUUCAUCUGCAAACUGGAAUAAUGAUAGCAACUACUUCAGAGGACUAUGUGAGUAUUAAAUGAAGUAAUCCUUGUGAUGAGUUUCUCAGAAUGCCUUGCAUAUGAUAAAUUCUUAACAUGUGUUGGCUUCAUCAUUAUUUUGUUAUUUUAUUAUAUAUAUAUUUUUAAAUUUUAACAGCUUUAUUGAGGUAUAAUUGAUAUACAAAGAACUGCACAUAUUCAGGGUGUAUAAUUUGAUGAAUUUGGAUGUAUGCAAAUACCCACACAACCAUCACCACUCAAGGUAAUAGAUGUAUGCAACUUCUCCAAGUUUUUUUGUGUCCCUUUGUUUUUGUUUUCUUUCAUUUUCCUGGGAAGAACACCUAACAGGAAAUCUACCUUCUUAACAUAUGAUCCAGCAAUACCACCUCUGGGUAUAUAUUCAAAGGGAUUGAAAUCAGGAUCUCAAAGAGACAUCUUCAUUCCCAUGUUCAUUGUAAAAUUAGUCACAAUAGCCAAGAUAUGAAAACAACCUGUUUCCAUUGACAG